rnacentral:rRNA from 1 species
UAGCAUAUCAAUAAGCGGAGGAAAAGAAACCAACAGGGAUUGCCCCAGUAACGGCGAGUGAAGCGGCAACAGCUCAAAUUUGAAAUCUGGUCCCCAGGGCCCGAGUUGUAAUUUGCAGAGGAUGCUUUUGGUGAGGUGCCUUCCGAGUUCCCUGGAACGGGACGCCAUAGAGGGUGAGAGCCCCGUCUGGUUGGAUACCGAGCCUCUGUAAAGCUCCUUCGACGAGUCGAGUAGUUUGGGAAUGCUGCUCUAAAUGGGAGGUAUAUGUCUUCUAAAGCUAAAUAUUGGCCAGAGACCGAUAGCGCACAAGUAGAGUGAUCGAAAGAUGAAAAGCACUUUGAAAAGAGGGUUAAAUAGUACGUGAAAUUGUUGAAAGGGAAGCACUUAUGACCAGACUUGGCCCCGGUGAAUCAUCCAGCGGUUCCCGCUGGUGCACUUUGCCGGGGUUCAGGCCAGCAUCAGUUCGCUCCGGGGGAUAAAGGCUUUGGGAAUGUGGCUCCCUCGGGAGUGUUAUAGCCCAUUGCGUAAUACCCUGUGGCGGGCUGAGGUUCGCGCUUUAUGCAAGGAUGCUGGCAUAAUGGUCAUCAGUGACCCGUCUUGAAACACGGACCAAGGAGUCGUCUUCGUAUGCGAGUGUUCGGGUGUUAAACCCCUACGCGUAAUGAAAGUGAACGCAGGUGAGAGCCCUCCAGGGCGCAUCAUCGACCGAUCCUGAUGUUCUCGGAUGGAUUUGAGUAAGAGCAUACGGGGCCGGACCCGAAAGAAGGUGAACUAUGCCUGUAUAGGGUGAAGCCAGAGGAAACUCUGGUGGAGGCUCGCAGCGGUUCUGACGUGCAAAUCGAUCGUCAAAUAUGGGCAUGGGGGCGAAAGACUAAUCGAACCUUCUAGUAGCUGGUUUCCGCC